CUUCUGCAAGGACCUGUCCUCGUCAGCGGCAGCAGAGAGGCAGGAGUGCUGUGGAGCUGGCUUCUGCUUCUCUCCUGUCUCCAGAGGAGGCUCCUUGUCUGGUGCUGGCUCUGGCUGCAGAGCAGGCCCAUGGUGUUCUGGACAUGGAGCCGGAGCUAGGAGGAGGAAAGCUCAGCAGUGUCAGUCACUUGCCAGUUCCCUGCGGAGCAUAGAAAAGACAUCCUGGCCAUUUGGGGGAUUCCAAUGCCCAACCAAAAGCCAUGAAAGCCUUCCGGACUGCUGUGGCCCUCACCAUCUGUUUCGGCCUCGUGGGGCUCUAGAUAUUCCACCUGAGCAAGGGGAAGGCACAAGGGAGGCUCCAUGUCUGCUCCAGGCCCCUUACAUACCCUGAGCGCGAGGGGAAGCACUGCCCAUGAGAGGUCACGGCUGGCGCUGACGUCCAGGAUGGGCACUGGGCUGCCUCUCUCACAUGUGGGUUCCUCCUGAACAUUAGCUGGAAACAUCUGCGGCCAGAGCCGAGCCAAGGUCGGAAAAGGCUCGGAUUGCGGUCCUUUCUGUGGCUAGACCUUCGGAAAGCGGGAAAAUGGCAACAGCUCAUCCUCCCCUCUUCUCUGUCUCCCUCCAAGGGGUCAGGACGGGAGACAGCUUCAGAAGGGCACCCAGUUUCGCUGGGUUCUAAUACCAAGGAAGUGAGGUCGCAUCCUCAAAGUUUCGCUACAGUUAGGGUGAGGAAGUGGCUUAGGACCAAGGGGCAAGGUGCAGUUUGGGUUGCGGUUUUUGUUGGGAUUUGGUUGAGGUUUAGGAAUACAUUUAGGCUUCUAUUAUGGCUGAGGGUGGGAGAUUCAGUGUUAGAAAGCAGGCCUGCAGUUUACAUUGUUGUUUAUUUUUAUUGUGCAGUUCACAAUCAUUUGAGGAGUGGCUACAUGUACAUAACAGAGCUUGAAGGGCCGGGGAUUUAGCUCAGUGGCACCAUGCCUGCCUCACCAGCACAAGGUCCUGAGUUCAAUCCCCGGUACCAAAAGAAAGAAAAACCAAAAAUACCAAAACAACAACAACUCAUAGUACAGCUUAUAUAUAUUACGAGUUUUAGAUUUAUAUACAAUUAAGAUGGCCACCCAGUUCUUCCAUUUCCUGUUAUUAAUGUCAUCCAUUAGUCUAGUACAUCCUGUACAAGGAGUGAGCAAAUAUUGAUGUAUAAUUACUAACUAAGAUCCACCUUCACCACUUGCUCUCCACAACAAUCUGCAGUCCCGUCCGGGCUGCCACAUUGCAUUUCAUUGUUGCAUCCCUCAGACGCCCCUUGACUGAUGUUUUCACAAGUUUUCCUUUUUUCGUUUUGUAUGAGCUGACAGUUUGGAGGAUGACUGAGCUGAUAUCUUAUAGAAUGUCCCUCAAUUUAAGUUUUCCUGAUGUUUCCUUCCUGAUUAGAUGAGGGUUACAUGUUUGGGUGCGUGGCUUUCUGCAGGUGUUCCAUGUUCCUGACUGCACCCUCAUCCUGGGUUCUCCAGUGCACCUUUGGCUUAACUCUCACAGCUGCAUGCACUGCCCUCUCAGGGACACCCAGCCUGGCCUGCCAGGCCUUCUUUUGAAAUUUGGGUGGAAGCCUUCCUGACUCAACUCUUGCGUUCUGCAUACCUGUGAAAACAGCACCCUGUAGAUGACACAAAGUUCUACCACUGGCUCCAAGCAGUCCUUAGGCCUUUGUGCAUCAUGGCUGCAGAAGCAUCCGCGGGCCUGGAUGGCUGAGCACUGUGAACUGAAUGAAUCCCAGGGAACCCGCCCAG
ensembl:lncRNA